rnacentral:lncRNA from 1 species
CCCUCCCUAGUUCUCGUUGAACCUAGUGGAUGUACCCUCAACUAGAACUGAUCCACAAGAGAUGUACCCUCUCUUGUUCUCAGUCAAACCCAAGUAGAUGUACCCUCUACUUGUACCACAAAGGAUGUACCCUCCAAUGUGUUAAGACAAAGAUCUCAGGCUGUUAAACCUUUGAUACUUUGUGAAUGGGGAUACAAAAGAAUUCUGAGGCGGUUAGUCCUUUGAACACUUUUGUAUUAGGGAAAGGGAAGAAUCAAAAGAAUUCUCAGACUGUGUCAUUUUGAAUUCUUUGACAAGGGAGAAGGGAGACACAAAAGAAUUCAGGCGGUUAGUCCUUCGUUCUUUUGGAAAAGGGAGACGAGAGAAACAAAAAGAAUUCAGGUGGUUAGUCCUUGGCGAAUUCUUUUUGGCAAAGGGAGAAGAGAAUGAAAAGAAUGAAUAGCACAAGUUUUCAAGGUUUGGAAAAACCUGAAAACUUUGGAAAGCUUUUGGCAAAAGGAAGAAGAAGAAGAAGUUCGAAGAGACUCAGAAAUCAAUGUGGAAAAAUUGCUUGUGUAAAGAAUGAAUUGGAAAAGAUAGAUUGAAAAUGCAAAACAAAGCCUUGCUUUUAUAGACUCUUCAUGUUUGGUCAAGAGGACCAUUUAGAAGAGUUAUAACUUUUAGAAAAACUUAAAACCAAUUUGAAAAAGUCAAAAACCAUUUGAAGAGUUACAUCUUUUGAUUUAUUCAGAAACAAUCACUGGUAAUCGAUUACCAAAUAUGUGUAAUCAAUUACACAAAGCUAUUAUGUGAAAGGAUGUGACUCUUCACAUUUGAAUUUGAAUUUCAACGUUCAAAGGCACUGGUAAUCGAUUACCAAAACAUUGUAAUCGAUUACAGCUUUUUGAAAUUAAUUGGAACAUAGUAAAUUCAAUUUGAAAACUUUUUCAAAACAAUUUUGCUACUGGUAAUCGAUUACAACAAUCUGGUAAUCGAUUACCAGAGAGUAAAAACUUUUUAGUAAACAUGUUUUGAGAAAAAUCCAUGUGCUACUCAGUUUUUGAAAAAUCCUUUUCAUAGUUAUCUUGAUUAAGUCUUCUCUUGAUUCUUGAAUCUUGAAUAUUGAAUCUUGAAUCUUGAUCUUGAUUCUUGAAGCUUGAUACUUGAAUCUUGAUUCUUGAAUUCAACUUUCCUCUUGAAUCUUGAAGUGUUCUUCAUCUUUUCCUCUUGAGUCUUAUUUUGUUCUUGAUUCCAUCUUGAACAUUUUGAACUCAUUCUUUGAUUGACCUUUGAGCUUUUUGUCAUCACCUUUGUCAUCAUCUUUUGUUAUCAUCAUUUUUAUCAUCAAAACAUCUUUGAAUCAUUCUUGAUUCACCAUGAAGCUUUGCUUCUACAAUCUCCCCAUUUUUGAUGAUGACAACCCUGAAAUCAAGAAACACAUACACAUUCUUUUUCCUAGUUGAUUUCUCACUUAAUUCUCCAUAUUCUCCCCCUUUUUUUUUAAUUUAUGCUUCACUUAAAAUAAAAUUAAGUUGAUUACUCAUGUGAGUUCUUGAUUUAAUCCUUAUUUCUCUCCCCCUUUGGCAUCAACAAAAAGCCAAAGUGCAUAACAAGUAUAAGACAAACAUAUACUAUUAAUCAUUCACAAGGCAUACAUUGAAGAAUAUAAACCAAUCAUGAAAAAAAAAUAUAAACUAAUCAUGAAGCAAGAAAUAUGACUAGAUCAAAUAUAUAGAAAACUCACAUAGUCAUAUAACAUACUUGUUCAACCAUACCAUGCAAAUAAGGGAAUAGUAAAUUGUUCAAAUACCAUAAUAAUAAUAGAGAUUUAUUUUGAUAAGUCACUAACAUCUAUUAGACCUAACUCUCUUCUAAUGUUAUAGAAGGUAUCUUUACUUAGUGGUUUUGUAAAGAUGUCUGCAAGUUGAUUUUUAGUAUCAAUAAACUCUAAAACAACAUCACCUUUUAAAACAUGAUCUCUAAUAAAAUGAUGUCUAAUUUCUAUAUGCUUGGUUCUAGAGUGAAGAACUGGAUUUUUAGAUAUGUUUAUGGCACUUGUGUUGUCACAUUUUAUGGGAAUGUGAUCUAAUACUAUUCCAUAGUCAGAUAGUUGUUGCUUCAUCCACAAAAUCUGUGCACAACAACUACCAGCAGAAAUGUAUUCUGCUUCUGCUGUGGAUAAUGCUACACUAUUUUGUUUCUUGCUAUUCCAAGAAACAAGUGCAAACCCUAUGAAUUGACAUGUACCACUAGUACUUUUCCUAUCUGUUUUUGAUCCAUCAAAAUCUGAAUCUGAGUAUCCUACUAGGUUGCAUCAAGAAUUCUUAGGGUACCAUAAUCCUAAACUAACUAUUCCUAAUAGAUAUCUUAUGAUUCUUUUUACUGCCAUUAAAUGUGAAAACUUUGGAUCUGAUUGAAAUCUUGCACACAUGCAUACACUAAACAUAAUAUCUGGCCUACUUACAGAUAAGUAAAGUAGAGAUCCAAUCAUACCUCUGUAUUGCUUUGGAUCAACAGGUUGACCGGAUUCAUCUUUGUCAAGAUAACAACUUGUAUUCAUAGGAGUAACCAAGUGUUUUGAGUUUUUCCAUUCCAAAUCUCUUAAUGAGUUCUUUGAAAUACUUUGCAUGAUUGACAAAGAUCCCAUCAUUUGUUUGUUUGAUUUGUAGUCCAAGAAAGUAAUUUAACUCACCCAUCAUGGACAUUUCAAACUCACUUUGCAUAUCAAUAGAAAACUCCUUGCAUAAAGAUUCAUUAGUAGAUCCAAAAAUUAUAUCAUCAACAUAAAUUUGUACUAACAAGAUAUCAUUAUCCUUAUUUUUUAUGAAUAAGGUGGUAUCUACCUUCCCUCUAUUAAAAUUUUUUUCUAAUAGGAAUUUACUUAAUCUUUCAUACCAAGCCCUAGGUGCUUGUUUUAAGCCAUAAAGUGCCUUCUUUAAUCUAUAGACAUGGUCUAGUUUUUGUGAGUCUUCAAACCCAGGAGGUUGUUCCACAUAUACCUCCUCCUGAAUUAGACCAUUUAAGAAAACACUCUUGAUAUCCAUUUGAUAUAAUUUAAAAUUCAUAACGGAUGCAUAUGCUAAUAACAUCCUAAUGGCUUCUAAUCUAGCUACAGGUGCAAAAGUUUCUUCAUAGUCUAUACCUUCUUCUUGGUUAUAUUCUUUUGCUACAAGUCUAGCUUUAUUUCUAAUUACUAUACCAUUUUCAUCCAAUUUAUUUCUAAAUACCCACUUAGUUCCUAUGAUUGGAUAAUCUGAAGGUUUUUCUACUAAUUCACAUACAUCAUUUCUUUCAAAUUGAUUUAAUUCUUCUUGCAUAGCUACUAUCCAAUGGUCAUCUAUAAUAGCUUCUUUAAAGCUUUUUGGUUCUAUUAAUGAAACAAAUGUCAUAUUAUUGCAUAAAUCUUUAAGAGAGUGUCUAGUUGUUACCCCUUUUGAGAUAUCACUGAUGAUGUUGUCAAGAGGAUGAUUUCUUGAAGUUUUCCACUCUUUGGGAAGAUCAUCGUUUUCUUGUGUUGUGUCAUCUUGAUCAUUCUUGUCUUCAUCAUCUCUCUUUCUUUUCAGAUUUCUUUCUUCAUUUUGAGUAUCUUCCAAAGUAUCUGCAAUAUCAUCAACAAACUCCUUUCUCGAGGAGGUGAUAUUAGUUUCAUCAAAAGUAACAUGUAUUGAUUCCUCAAUUGUCAUGGUUCUUUUGUUGUUUAUUCUAAAUGCUUUACUAUGUAAGGAAUACCCAAGGAAGAUACCUUCAUCUGCCUUGGCAUCAAACUUUCCUAGGCUUUCUUUACCAUUGUUUAGAACAAAACAUUUACAUCCAAAAAUAUGUAAAUGAGCAAUAUUUGGUUUUCUAUUAUUAAAAAGUUCAUAUGGGGUUUUCUUAAGAAUGGGUAUGAUUAAGGUUCUGUUCAUAAUAUAACAUGUGGUGUUAACCGCUUCUGCCCAAAAGUAUAGACUCUUCAUGUUUGGUCAAGAGGACCAUUUAGAAGAGUUAUAACUUUUAGAAAAACUUCUGGGAACACCUUUAAGAACGGAAUAAUUGAUUACGAUCAUCUGGCAAUUGAUUAAAAUAGAGACUCAUGAAAAACCAGGCAUGGUCUCACCUAAACUAUGUAAUCGAUUACAGUUAACUAGUAAUCGAUUAAACCAAGACUAGAAUCUUUUUGCAAGCUACAAACACUUGUGUAAUCGAUUAUGACUAGCCUUGUAAUCGAUUAAAAUAAAAAGUUUUAUGCACUGAAGAAGUUUCUAACUUUAGAAACAAUCUUCCUAUUUUUACAUGAUGAUGCAUGACGUACAUAUGAAAAGAUAGAAACUAAGAUGUAACAAUCAAUACAAAUGUCACUCAAAGAGUUGGGCAUGUAAAAAGACAAAACUUCUUCAAGCUCCAAAACUUGGUCAUCAUGUUGCUCCCCCUAUCUCUAACACUUGGUAGAGCUCUUACAAGGUUUUUUUUUCUCUGUAGUUUGGAGAUUAACCUCUAACUAGCAUGACCAAGUUUUUUAUGCCAUAACCAGUGAUUUUCCUUGACAGAUAGUGUUGGACAAGUGGCCUCAAUAACUUAAGAGAAAGGGUGAAUUAAGUCUUACUAACAAACAUUUAGCCCUCUUCUAAAUGAUAGGCUUAGAAUGCAGAAGAAGAAACAACAAUCAAUUUAAUAAUGUUCUUUAAACAUGCAAGACAAAAUUGAUUGCAAUAAAAUAAAUUAGAUAAGGGAAGAGAGAAAUGCAAACUCGAUUUAUACUAGUUCGGCCACUUCUCAUGCCUACAUCCGGUCCUCAAGCAACCCACUUGAGAUUUUCCACUCUCUUUGUAAAAAAUCCUUUUACAAAGUCUGAAUCACACAAGGACAACCCUUCCCUUGUGUUUAGGAAUCCUUAUAACUUAAGAGACCCUCAGUCCCUUAAUCAAUCUCUUUGAAUAAGAAGAAAAAUUACUCUUCAAUAAAUUUGCAAGUGUUUGCCCAAGAGUUGUUGAGAGAGCAUUUGGCAAUGAAGUUCUCUUGGAAUAUCUCUCUCUUGCUUUUUGAAAUCAGACACACAUAUAUAUAGGCCCUUUGUGCCUUUUCAAAAUGGUUUAAAGAGAUGUAUCUUUUCCAAAAGCUUUUUCUGAAUUUUUUUCACUGGUAAUCGAUUACAAGUUUCUGGUAAUCGAUUACACAGUUAUAUUUUGAAGGGUCAUGACUUUUGAAUUUGAAUUUCCAGAGUUCCAUUGCUGGUAAUUGAUUACAAACAUCUGGUAAUCGAUUAUAGGUUCAAAAUUCAAAUUCAAAACCCUUUUUGACAACUAUUUUUCAAACUUGUCUACUGGUAAUUGAUUACAUUGCUUGGUAAUCAAUUACCAAAGCCUUGCAUGUCUUGGAAACACUUUGUUUUGAGGCAAGGCUUGAUCUUAAAGUAAUCUUGAAGCAAGGCUUUGUUUAUUGAAGCAAUCUUGUAUUAAUCUUGAAGCAAUGCUUAUCCUUUGUAGCAGCUGUUCGGUCGUGGCAAGUGCACCGGAUCGCGCAAGUAGUAUAAAAUGGUAAGAACCGAGUAUCGAACUCUCGGGGAACUUGUGUUACUUGGUAAAGCUACUUCAGUGAAUAGGUGUUUAGUAUGAAAAGAGAUAUGUGGAUUAUUCACAGGUAUGUAAACUAACUAUUAAAAGGAAAAUCACGUGAGUAAUGAUGCGUAAAGACAAGUAGACAACACGUUGGUCUUCCUAAUAGAUGCUUGAUGUAAAAAGGAUAUUCUCUACUUAACAAUGCUCAUGUGUUCUAUGGAGUCUCCUGAAAUGCUAAAGCCCAAUUCCUCAUGAUAGUCUAGCCUAAUCCUGAUCAGGCAUCGUCCGCAGAUUCCUCUUAUUGGACUAAACUCGACUAGAACCGCAUUAAGACAAACAUACAACAACUAGAUUAUCGUACCCCGAUCCCUCGUGAUAAUACGAUAAACUAGCCCCGUCCUAUCAAGUUCUAAGAAUCAAACCAGUUUCCACUGUUGAAUGAUCCUAAAAACACAUGCAUCUACGUGAUCAAGGCAAAAGCAUGGUAGAAUGAAGUUUUGAUAGCACAGUGAACACACAAAACAUCAUUAAAUAGAUAUACAGGUAUUUACAUCAAGUACCUACAAGGAAGAACCAACAGAGGAUUAGCUCUCCAUAACUAGAAAGCUUCCUUUACAACAAAGAGAAGAGAAAGAUGAAGGAUUGAAGAUAUACAAGUGGUGGGGAUGUCUCCUCCACCUCUAGAACCUCACAAUCACUCACAGACUCAUAUUAUGCUCUCAGGACGACUUCCUCUUCAAGCUCGAUUCUCCGCUAGUCUUCACACAACAAAAUCUCAAAACUCUCUGGAACUUGGACCAUUCUCUCUCUAGAAAACCCUAGACAUGCAGAAGCUUCAAGAAAAGGCCAAACUCCCCUCCAAAAUCUGAUUUCAGGCUUAAAUAGGUAGCUUUGUUCGUGCUUACGCGCUUAGCGCAACUCUGGACCGCUUAGCGCUCAUUAGUGGAUUUCGGCUUCGCGCAUGCUUAUCUCGCUCAGCGGAUGGACUGAAGCGGUGCACUUCGCUGGAUGACCCUUCGCUCAGCGAACAUGCACAGCUCAUCCUUCUUCCAGAUUCUUCCUCGCGCUCAGCCGAAGGAGUAGUGCGCUCAGUGGAUGCCUCGCUAAGCCAACAGAUUGGCUUAGCGAGAGAAUGAAAAUCAGCGCUUUACAACUUGCCUAAUUAACCUGAAAUUGAGAGGAAUUGAUUAUUAAACACACAAAAUGGAAAUACUAAGUAUUUAUUACCUAUCUUUAACAAAAAGUAAUUACAAUACUACAAAACAACCAUAAAUUGGAGGAGUUUGAUGCAAUUUACACAGGUUUUAAACAUAAAAGUUAGUCGUAUUCAUCGACUAACAACUCCCAUAAAUUUGCAGUUUUGCUUGUCCUCAAGCAAAUAUAGAACAAUUCAUUGGUCCCCAAGUGACAAUAACAUGCAGUGACUCUGUACAAAGGUGUAUGCAACAAAAGUUAUUGAUUGCAUGAUAGAAGAAUGAAGAAAAAUGCCCUCAUCACUUGUCUUUGACAAAGCAUGUAGUUAUUCAAAGAGAAGAAUAAAAUGUAACCUAUACAAUUAGAUAAAGUUAGGAAUCAAAAAGAUAUCAAGGAAAGUAGCUUAAACCACAGUUUCACAACUUCUGUUUCACUCAAGCAUAGGUGUUUAAGCUAUUCAUUAAUAACAACUAGCAAGAGAUCCAAUCUUUGAACUUCAUCUCAUGUCAUCAAGUCAUAAAUGCAUAAAUAGAAUCAUAAGGACUUUUAUAGUCUUGUAGUGAGGUUUGGCUACAAAAAAUCAUUGGUUUUUCUAGGAUUCAAAGGCUUAGAUUCUAAGAGAGCACAAAUCCUAGACUUAUCCAAAUAUUCUUUUCAAUACAAUUAACUUACUCAUUAGCGUUUCACUUUAAUUUUGCUUUUGACCUUAUUACAAUGCCACACAUUUUCUUUGAUUGCUUUUUUUUAACACAACUUAUUUAUUGUGUGUGCUGAUGCUUUACCUUUUACUUUACAUCCCAAUCAACUCCACUCCCCCAAAUUUGGGGUCAAUUUGCCUUGAGCCAUAUGCUCUCCUAGAAUCUAAACAAGGUAUCUGGAGAUAAUUAUUUAAGUUCAGGGUUCAAUUUUGAAAAUGUAAUUCAGCUCACAGAGGGUGCAAAGGAUACAAUUAUAAUUCAAGGUAGGCUUUUUGGUCAAUUGGCUUGUAUAUACAAUUAUGGACUUCAUCAUGUCCUCAUUCAUACAUUUCAUUCUAGAUUUCAGAGAUUGAUGCAAAGACCAUUACUCAAAGCUAGUCAUUCACUCACAGUUUAAGGUCACACUCUCACCGGUUAUGGUUCAAGCUUUUCUUUCUAAAUCAAUCUGUCUAUUGACUAACAAUUCUAAUUACAAACUUACAUACUUGUUCUUUCUUUGUCUAACAUACAUACUUGCUCAAACUCAUGAAAAGAAACAUAAAAUCCAUGAUAAACAUGCAUUCAAACCAAAAUCAAUUCAUACACCAAUUUUCACAAAAAGAUAAAAGUGUUUCACUGCAUUAUCAUCAAAAUCAAGUCAAACUGUUCCAUAUGCUUCAGGAUUUUCAAAAUUUCUCACAACAAAAAGUGUAAUGCAAAACAUACUAAUUCAUAUGUACUAAAAACCAUAUAAUUGCUAUACUAUGCAAGCAUAAUCAUUAAAAGGUACUAAAAACAAUAUAAUUAUAAUAAUAACAGGGCAAGUGGGAGAGCUGCUUCUGGUGCUGGAGAAGAUGGAUCCACCACUGGAGAUGGUGGAUAAGUUAGAACUGGCACUGGCCCAGGAUAAGCAACCUCAUCGAAUCUUGUCUCUAAUCUUCCUUCCGAAAAAUCAACAACUCCAGGGAUGGUGGCUGCAGAGGAUUGGUUGUUUUCUGGCUCUGGCUCCUGUCGCUGAGGUGCUUGGGCUGUAAAGCUUCCAUUAUCCCUAACAAACAAAGGUUGAGCUCUGGGCCAGGCCACCUUCUUAAUGAAUUGCUCUACACUCAUGAUUGGCCUUUGCUGGGCCAAUUCUUGCAAGCUACGCAUAAUGAGAAUUUGUCCUUUAAACAAGCUCUGCAACCUAGCAUCUAAAGUCUGGGAGCUCUGGGCAGAUGGGUCGACUGAUCCUGGAGGUGGAGCUGGAGUAGAAGAUGAAGGGAUGCAAACUAUUGGUGCAGAGGAAGAGGGAACAUCAGCUGCUCUAAGCUUGGUCUUCCUUGCCCCUAGAAAAUUAAUUGAUUGGUCAUUCACAUUCCAACAGUUCCUUGUAAUAUAGGCCAAGUUAAUGAUCGGCCUCAAACUCUCGUAAGAAGUAAGAGCAUCAGAUCCAACUCCCCUCGACCUACACAAGGUUGUGAUUAAAGCUGGGAAGCCUAGGCGAGAAGAGUUGGACUGAGCCAUCAUGGUUAUCUGUCCAGAGAUCAAACCGCCAAUGUUCAUGUCCAUCCUUGUGAUUAAGCCAUAGACCAGCCUAGCUCUGUCUAUGUUCAAAUCUGAGGUGUGGGAGGUAGGAGCUAGUGUAGAAGCAAAGCUUCAUGGUGAAUCAAAGGUGAUUCAAAGGUGUUUUGAUGAUAACAAUGAUGAUAACAAAAGAUGAUGACAAAGGUGAUGACAAAAAGCUCAAAGAACAACUCAAGUGACUCAAAGAUCAAUCAAAGAACAACUCAAGUGAAUCAAAGAUCAAUCAAAGAACAACUCAAGUAAAUCAAAGAUCAAUCAAAGAACAACUCAAGUAAAUCAAGAAGAAUUCAAGAAUCAAGAUUCAAGGUUCAAGAUCUCAAGAAUCAAGAUCAAGGUUCAAGACUCAAGAUUCAAGAAUCAGAGAAGGCUCAAUCAAGAUAAGUAUGAAAAGUUUUUCUCAAAAAUUGAAUAGCACGUGAUUUUUCUCAAAACAUGUUUACCAAAGAGUUUUUACUCUCUGGUAAUCAAUUACCAGAUUGUUGUAAUUGAUUACCAGUAGCAAAAUUGUUUUGAAAAAGUUUUCAAAUUGAAUUUACAACGUUCCAAUUGAUUUCAAAAAGUUGUAAUCGAUUACAAUGUUUUGGUAAUCGAUUACCAGUGUCUUUGAACAUUGAAAUUCAAAUUCAAAUUCAAAUGUGAAGAGUCACAUCCUUUCACAUAAAAGCUUUGUGUAAUCGAUUACACUGAUUUGGUAAUCGAUUACCCGUGUUUGUUUCUGAAUAAAUCAAAAGAUGUAACUCUUCAAAAGGUUUUUGACUUUUUCAAAAUUGGUUUUAAGUUUUUCUAAACGUUAUAACUCUUCUAAAUGGUUGUCUUGACCAGACAUGAAGAGUCUAUAAAAGCAAGGCUUUGUUUUGCAUUUUAAUUAAUUUAUUCAAUCUUGAACACUUAUUCAAUCAAUCUUUUACAAGCCCUAAAUCUCUUUGAACUUCUUCUUCUUCUUUGUACCAAAAGCUUUAUGAAGUUUUCUGGUUUUCCAAACCUUGAAAACUUGUGCUAUUCAUCUUUUCAUUCUCUUCUCCCUUUGCCAAAAAGAAUUCGCCAAGGACUAACCGCCUGAAUUCUUUUUGUGUCUAUCUUCUCCCUUUCCAAAAGAACAAAAGACUAACCGCCUGAAUUCUUUUGUGUCUCCCUUCUCCCUUGUCAAGGAAUUCAAAAUGACACAAUCUGAGAAUUCUUUUGAUUCUUCCCUUUCCCUAAUACAAAAGUGUUCAAAGGACUAACCGCCUCAGAAUUCUUUUGUAUCCCCAUUCACAAAGUAUCAAAGGUUUAACAGCCUGAGAUCUUUGUCUUAACACAUUAGAGGGUACAUCCUUUGUGGUACAAGUAGAGGGUACAUCUACUUGGGUUUGACUGAGAACAAGAGAGGGUACAUCUCUUGUGGAUCAGUUCUAGUGGAGGGUACAUCCACUAGGUUCAACGAGAACAAGGGAGGGUACAUCCCUUGUGGAUCAUUGCUUGUAAAAGGAUUUUUACAAGGUUGAAAGACAUCUCAAGGACCGCAGGUCGCUUGGGGACUGGAUGUAGGCACGGGUUGUUGUCGAACCAGUAUAAAAACUCUUGUGUGUUUGUUUCCUUCUUCCCUACUCUUUUACUUUCUGUUGUGCAUUUAAUUUCCGCUUUUAAUUUCUGUUAAGUUUUUCUUCUACUCCUCAUUCUCUUAACAAUUUAGUAAAUGCCUUAGAAGAGUAAAUUUUUAAUUAGUAAAGGUUUAGGAAUAAUUAAUUCAACCCCCCCUUCUUAAUUAUUCUGAGGCCACUCAAUCCAACAGCUAGGUUAGAGUAAGAGAAGACACUCCAUGUUUGGGCCAAGGUAGUAAGAUCCUUUCUGAGGAGCUUCCAUGGAUGGCCCUCAGCAUUCAGAAUAAAACCCUUGCCCGGAAUUCAUAGGCUAGCCUCCAUGUCUCUGGGAUCAGACCUUAAUCUACAAAAUCUAGAGUAAGUGGGUAAAGAUUCCCCCUCCUCUAGUAACACUAGAGUAUGAAGAGCCUCAUUCGGGCUAUUUGCAUCUAUCUUGAUUAAAUGGCCUCUUACUCUAGCACACUUGGGAGCUUGGUCAUCUGGACUAUACAAAUUUGCAUAAAAUUCUUUAACCACCGCCACAUCUAUGCUCCCUUCCUGAAGGUUGGCGAGGCGUUUGUGAAAGUUUCGCCUCUCCAACUCUGCUUUAAACUCGUCGAACUCAGUAUGAUAAAUCUUAACAUUCCUUUCCAAAAGGAUCCUCUGGUCCAAAAUGUUGUCGGUAUAUCGGUUCCAGCAAAAUGUUGUCGGUAUAUCGGUUCCAGGCUUCCAAUGAUUGGAAUCUUCUGCUAUCAUACUAAGCUUGUGGCCUAGAAUCACUACUCUUGUGUUUCCUAGAAGCCAUCUACAAUUAAAGGAACCAAACAGUUAAUCAAAGCACAAGUUAUUCAAAUUCAAAAACUGAAAAAGGCACUGGCGGCUUAGCAAGACAUGGUCCACUUAGCUAGCCUUCACAAAAUACACACUACCGCUUAGCGACAUGUGGGGCCGCUUAGCGGAUGUUGCAGAAUUUCAGUUUCUGCAUAAUUGGCUUAGCUGGAAACUACCCACUAAACCUAACUGUUGCCACAAGGAUUUGCGCUAAGCUCCUCAAAGUUCGCGCUUAGCGGCACCAUACACUUCAAAAACUACACUAAGUAUGGGAUUUGCUGCAAUGAAAUGCGCUUAGCUCAGGUAGGCUUGGCUUAGCGCAUGGCUUCCAACAAAAAAUUUGACUAAGUUACCUGGGCUUAGCGAUUCAGCCUCGCUUAGCCACAGGCAUCUCAGCAAGAGGAUGAGUGUUCAUCCUCAAAAGAUGAACUAGCUUAGCAUGGUAGGCACGCUUAGCGAGUUCUUCCGAAAAUGCAUAUAUUCAUUGAAUACUGAUGAACUCACUUAGCGCAGCAUACUUGCUUAGCGAGUUCAUCGCGUUUUCCAGGAAAAAAAUGCAGAAAAUGCAGUUCGUUUUCUUGCACUUUUUUUAGUCUCUAAAAGGCAUAUCAAACAUGCAAACCAACCAAAAGGACUUAUACAGUACAAACAUAUAUAAAGUCCUAAUCUUUAACUACUUCUAAAAACAUUCAAACCCUAAAAAUCAAAAGCUAAAUCUAAGGUUUUCUAACCUAAGGUUUAACUGAAUAAAAGAGAAAAAAGGGAAUGGAAAACUUAUUUGAAUCUUUGACAAUAGUAGAAGAUGCGUGAAGAUGCAGAAAAAGCAAGAAUGCACGAAGUUGGGUGUGAGAGAGAAUGCUGACAAUGUUCAAUAAAUUUGGGCAAAUGUGAGUGUAACUAACGUUACACUCACUUAAGCAAAUUUUGACCCUCUCGCUUAGCGGAUUGCCUCGCUAAGCGAGCUAGAGAGACGUUUGGUUUCUCAAAGGGUGUCGCUUAGCGGAACCGGCACGCUUAGCCAACAUUUGAAAUUCAAAAUUAAUAUUUUAUUAUUAUUAUUAUUAUUAUUAUUAUUAUUAUUAUUAUUAUUAUUAUUAUUAUUAUUAUUUCCAGAGAAAGGGCUUGCCUUAGCGCGAAGAUAUGGACGCUUAGCGAGUUCUACAGAACAAAAAUACCUGUAACUCUCGCUAAGCUUGGCUCUCAGCCGGCUUAGCUAAAAUAAUGCAUCUUGAUUACAGAGGGAUAGGAGCUUAGUGGUUGAGGGUUGCUUAGCGCUACUAUGGCCGCAAGGAAUUGAGCUUAGCUGGCAUGAGUUUCGCUUAGCUCAAUGAAACCCAAUUCUGGCCGCAAGGAAAUGAGCUUAGCCAUGACGUGUCACGCUGAGCCAAUGAGUGCAAUGCGCUUAGCGAGCAGGCUAUCGCUUAGCCUAAUUCAAAUCGAAUUGAAAUGGGCUUAGCUCACCCUUGGCCAGCUUAGCAGACCAAAUCAGCCUGAGAUGCAAGGGUUGAGCACUAAGCGCUAGAAACUCUCGGCUUAGCACAUGACCAAAGAUGUACUUAGCGCGAGGCUUGCGCUUAGAGAAAGGACUGUUUUCAGAAAAAAUUCUCUAAGUUAUUUUUCAGUCCCUUCCUUAAGAAAUUGAAACCCUUAUAUCUAUCAUUCAAAAACAAGCUGAUAUACCCCAAUGUAAUGAUUAUGAAGCAAGUUCCACAUGAUGCAAUGCAUAAAAAAAUAAGAGAUUAAAAUUGGGUUGCCUCCCAGGAAGCGCUUCUUUAACAUCAUUAGCUUGACGCUUUUACCUCAAUGGGCGAAAUCACGUUUUGGUUCUUACUUCCAGAACCUCCUUACCCACUUCCAUUACCUGUAAGCAAAAAUUUUGUUCUGGAGCAGGCUUGUCUUCAACAAAUAAAUCAAAAUCAAUUUUCUAAUCUUCAAAGCCCAACUCUAGCUUCUUUCUCCCUAUAUCCACUAUGCAGCUUGCAGUUAACAUGAAUGGCCUUCCCAAUAUUACAGGAAUGUCAUUAUCUUCACAGAUAUCCAGUACCCCAAAGUAUGUCGGGAAGUUAAAAUGUUUUACUCUGACCAGCACAUCUUCAAUUACUCCAUAUGAUCUGGUAAUGGAGCAGUCAACAAGUUGUAAAGUCAUCCUAGUGGGCAUGAUCUCCAACUCUCCCAACCUUCUGCACAUUGAGAGUGGCAUUAAGUUAAUACUGGCUCCCAGGUCAACAAGAGCCUUUCCCACAGUAACUCUUUCCCUGGAACCUAUCUCAAUCUUAAGACACGACUUGGAUUCUUUUUUUUAAGAGUUAUACAAGCUUCACAUGUUUGAAUGGACUCAUCCAAUGAAACCAUCUUGAAGGGUUUUCUCAAGUUUUAAAUCAUCUUUAGAUAGAUUCUUGAAAUCUUUUUCAUAGGUUUUUGUAAGCUUUUGAGAGAAUUGAUGAGUUAGAUAAAAUCUCUCAUGAUAAGUUUUACUAAGAGAUUCAGGGUCGUGGAAAUUUACCUCAUCUUCCUGAUAAGAUUUAGACAUCUCAAAAGUUAUAUUUUCCAUCAAGCAUAUGUUGGCUUCUUCAUCAUCUUCAUCAGACGAGGAGUCAUCCAGGUCCUCCCAAGUACUCAUAAGACCUUUUUUCCCUCUAUUCUUGAAUAAUUUCUUCUUAUCUUAACUCUUUUCUAUUUCUAGGCAUUCAGACUAGAAAUGUCUAGGCUUUUUGCACUCAUAGCAAAUCAUGGAACUUUUAUCUUUAUCUUUCUUUUCUUUGGGCAUUCUUCAUAAGGAAUUUUUCUAAUUGGAGCCUCCUUUGUUUCUCCACAUCUUACGGAUAUUUUGAGAAAUAAAGGUUAGCUCAUCUUCAUCCGAGUCUUUUCCAGAUUCAUCAUUAGAUGAAUAAUUGACUUUAAGAGCUUUGGAUAAACUUUUCAAGACUUGUUCUCUAGACGAUGAUGCCUUUUGUUCUUCUGACUAUUGAGAGCUAGAGACUUUUCUCUUUUGGGUCAUUUGUCUUGCUAAAGUUCUUGUUGAUGAACCUUGAGGAUACUGACAAGUUCCUCAAGGGACAUAGAACCUAGAUUCUUUAAUGCUCUCAGGAUUGUUACCUGCACUCUCCACUUCCUAGACAAGCUUAUCAAAAUUUUGUCAAUAUGAUCAUACUUAUCAUAAGUUCUAUCUAUGGAUCUUAGUUCAUUAAGAAUGGUUUGAAAGCAUCCGAGCAUACAUUGUAUGUCUUCAUUUUCUUUCAUAGAGAAGAGUUCAUACUUAUGAGUGAGGAGAUUGAGUUUGUUCCUCUUUACUUGUGACGUUCCUUCAUAUGUUACAUCCAGAGUGUCUCACAUUUGUUUGGCACUUCUAAAGUUGUGUACCUUGGUGUAUUCUUCUUUUGAAAGAUCACACAACAUCACAUUCUAAGCCUUGGAGUUUAGCAUAAAUCUGAGUCUUUGUUCCUCCAUCCAUUGACCUCUAGGAAUUUCAUUCAGUUCAUCAUCAUAUGGAAUAUAAUCCCCAUUUUCCACCACAUCCCAUAGAUCUGUAUGAAUCAAUUCAAAGGGGCUAUCAUAUGCUUCUUCUAUUAAUCAUAUUUUACGCCUCUAAAAAGAGGUGGCUUAUUGGUGGAGAAUCCUUCUUCCAUCUCUUUGAUAUAUUGGAUCUUUUCCUUAGUAUUGUCAGAUACUCAACUCUUAAGGCCAAGCUUUGAUACCAACUGAAAUAACAAUAAACACACUAAAACUAAGGGGGUUGAAUAGUGUGUAUAUCAAACAUAUAAACUUUUGCAAUAUUAAAGCAGAUAUAGAUAGUGAAAUAUAUAUGUGUCAAGUCAUCCAUUGAAGAUAUAUAUGUGUCAAGUCAUUCAAAUAAAUACUUGUUGUUAAAAAUGUGAUAGAGAGUGCUAUAAGAAUGAUUAAUAAACUGAUAUCACUUUGAUUUAUACUAUUUCACUCAACCUUAGCUACAUCCAGUUCUCCUUUAGUCACUAGUAAAGGAUUCCACUAAUCAAAACUUGAUUACAAAACAAGUAUUCUAACCUACCACUCCUGGUUUUACAAGUACUCAUAAUACCACUUUUGGUACUUUCUUAGGCCCUUAAAUUUAAGAAACCCAAGUAUUGUUUAACACUAAGCGACUCUUGUCUUUCACAAACAAAAGUUUAGAUGAAUACAAGUAUUCUGUAACACUCAAUGAGUGAAUAAACAAUUAAGCUCAAAUACAAAAUUACUUUGCCUAGUAAAGAGUAAACAAAUGAAAAUUUUAUAUUAGUCGUCUGGUGAUUUCAUUAGAGUUUUACUUUAAAUAUUUUCUUGCUUUCUUGUAAGAUUUUUAGUCAUUUGCAUUCUAGAUGGAGACUUCCUUUUAUAGAUUUUAGUGAAGGAUUCAUUACAGGAUCAACAUUGAUUCCUUGAAAAUGCCAUUGUCUAAUACUAAAAGAUAAGCCUACUUGUCAUUCUCUAAUUUGAGAGGAAUGAACCAUACUAUAGACAACGCCAUAUGAUCCUUGUUUGUAGCAAAAAUGACCUUUAAGGGAAUAUUCCAUGAAUACCUUGUAUAUUAUUCUAUAUUGUCCUGUUUUUAAAUUCAAACAUUAGCAAUUCAAAAUAUAGAAAGGCAAAUUGAAAUUGUAUAAGGUAGAACAUGUGUACUUCCCUUUUUUAUCUAUCAUAGUCUUUUUGGGUUUCUUACUGGCUGGACACGAGAGUUAAUGAAAAGAUAAUGUAUAACACUGGUUCUCAUAAUGGUGGAUGCUAUCUGGUUUUAGCGUGUUGGAUACUAGAUAAAAUAGAGCAUUCUCUCUUGCAGUGUGGAUGAUAUUGAAUAUUGUUAAGUCCUUUAACAUAUUGAUCCGGUCUAGUUGUCAAAAACUCAUUAGAACAAUAAUAGUUUAUAUUUGUUGUUAUCCAUCAAAAUCCAAGGUGGAGGAGAUGAAUGUUCGUCCAGACCUAACAAUAGUCUUCUAGUUGAUUCUUUAUCCAUAUCAGUUGAGUACAACAACUUGCUACUGAUAUAUAUUUAGCUUCUACAAUAGGUAGUGCUAUUGAUCCUUGCUUCUUGCUAAUCCAAGUGACUAGGUUUCCACCAAAGAGUGGCAACUUCCACUAGUGCUUAUUCUUCAAUUUUCUCACCAGUAUAGUUAGCAGCACAAUAACUAAUCAACUUGAAUUCCUUGCUAUGCUUAAAGUAAAGACCAAGAUUAGGAGUUCCAAUUAAAUAUCUAAAUAUUCUUUUGACAACAGUUAAGUGAACUACCUUAGGUCUUGUUAGAAUCUGCCACAUAGUCCAACAUUGAAUAAUAUAUCAAGACUGGAUGAAAUUAGAUAUAGUAAGGACCCAAUCAUUGCUUUGUAUUGUGAGUGUCCACUUUGUUGGAUUCCUUGUCCAAUCCAAGACAUGUUGUUGGAUGCAUAAGAGUCUUCAUUUCUUUUGCGUCUUCCAUCUUGAGCUUCUUGAGAAGUCCCUUGACAUACUUGGUUUGAUGCAUAUAGAUGUCAAUGUUGGUUUGUUUUAUCUGUAGUCCUAAGAAGAAGUUCAGCUUUCGCAUCAUACUCAUUUGAAUUCAUUUUGCAUUAGCCUAGAAAAAUCCUCACAAAGAGGUUCAAAAAUAACACCACAUAUAAUGUCGUCAACAUAAAUUUGAACUAAUAUAAAUUGGGAGUCAUAGUUCUUGCAGAACAAAUUUGUAUCCACUUUUCCUCUUUCAAAGUCAUUGUUUAAAAGAAAUGAACUAAGACAUUCAUAUCAAGCUUUAGGAGCUUGCUUAAGUCCAUACAAUGUUUUACAGAGUUUAAAAACAUGGUGUGCAAAUAUGUUACUCUCAAACCCCGGGGGUUGUUCUACAUAGACUUCCUCUUGUAUCAGUCCAUUAAGGAAUGCACUUUUUACGUCCAUUUGAUAUAGUCUCAUUUUUGUAUGAGCUACAAAUGAGAGUAAAAUGUGUAUUGCCUCUAGACGAGCAAUAGGGGCCAAGGUUUCUGUAUAAUAUAUACCUUCCAAUUGUGAAUAACCCUUGGAAACUAGUCUUGCCUUAUUUCUCACAAUCUUACCUGCCUCAUCUAGCUUGUUUCUAAACACCCAUUUAGCACUGAUUGUUUUCUUUCCUUGUGGUAGUACUACAAGCUUCCAAACGUCAUUUUUAGGAGUUGUUGAAGUUCCUCUUGCAUGGCUUAUAAUAUGUUUGGGUUCCACUUUUGAAAUGAGAGUUGUGUAACCUUGUUGUUCGAGAGAUCCUCUUGUCUGGACUUUGGUUGAGGGAUCUCCAAUGGUUUGACUCUCUGGAUGGUUCUUUAUUAGAAUUUGUUUAGUUGGUUUUUUUUCUUCUUGAGGUUAUCCUGUUACCUAAUUGGACAUGUUUGUUCCUGUAGAUUGUUCUAUCAGUGGUCCAAUGCCUUCGUCUAGUCUUAUGUCUGCAAGAUUCAUCAAGCCUUGACAUUUCUGUAUCAGGCUUUGUGUCAUUAAAUCUUACACGAAUGGCUUCUUUCAUCAUGAUCAUAUUUCUUUCCUUUAUAUCCAUUUCCAGAUUUGUCAAUAGGGCAUUUUUUGUAUCUUAACAUUUUGUUAAGUUUCUCAAUGCUUCCAACAAAUUUGGAUAAAGUCUCUUUCAAAAUUUCAAUCUCUUGAUGAAGUGUAACAACUGCUAGAGGUUGCUUUUGGAGAGCCUCAUACUAUUCAAGUUUAUCAUUUGAGAAUUUUAGGCUUUUCUUAUAUCCUUCACAUUCAACCCAUAAGUUAUGUUUACUUGCCUCCAAGUUUUCAUAAUUCUUAUGGACUUGUGAACAUUCCUUCAAUAGAUUACACAUUUCUUCAUUUAGGUAAUCAUGAAGUUUGUUGAGUGUGAUAUACUCAUUUUGUAAGCCUUCUAGUUGAUUUUUCAACUUCUGAAGGUCUUGUAAUAGACUAGAUCUUUCUUUGCAAAUUUCCUCAUUCUCAAGGUGAAGCUUUAUUGUCUUUAACUUUAAGCUUUCAAAGUCAUCACAUGAUUGAGAAGAAAUUUUUGAAGAAUUAUCUAUCUUUUCUUCAUGUUUCCAUUGAAGUUGUUUAUAAUCUUUUGAAAGACUUUUGAAAUCCUUUCUCAAAUUUGAUAAGCUUUGGACAAAAUCGAUGAUUUGGAGAGAAGUUCAUGAUAUGCUAAUUGAAGAGUUUCAAGGUUUUUUAUAUUUACCUCUUCAUUUGAUUCUGAAUCUGAUCCUUCUGAUGCAAUGUUUACCAUCAGACAGAAGUUGGCUUCUUCUUACUCUUUUGUUUCUUCAUUGGAUGAUUUGUCGUCUAGUUCUUCCCACGUGCUCAUCAAUACUUUUUUGUCCUUUGGUAUGAAGUACUUCUUCAAAAAGCUAAUUUAUCAAGAUAUGAACAUUUUGACUUGAAAUGCCUUGGUUUCUUGCACUCAUAGAAUAUGAUGAAGCUUUUCUCCUUAUCUUUUCUUUCUCUAUGUGGUUUCUUGGAUCCUUUCCAAUUUGAUUCCUCAUUUUCUUCCAUAUGAUCCUUAUCUUCCUUGAGAUAAAGGAUAACUGAUCAUCUUCGUCUGAGCCUUCAUCAUUGGACUCAUCAUCAUAAGGUGUAUCAAAGUUGACAGCUUUGGAUGUGCUUUUGGAUGUAGAUCUGGAUGAAGAUUCCUUGCAAGUAGAGGAUGUUUUUUGUGCAGGUAGAGCCAACGAUCUCCCCCUUUUGAAUCCUUCAUCUUGUUGAAGUUCCUGCUCAUGAACCUUUAAGGUUCCAAUUAGAUCUUCAAUGGACACGGAGUUCAAGUUCUUCAUAGUUCUCAAGGUUGUUACCUAAGGUCUCCACUUUUUACAUAAACUUCUUAGAAUUUUGUCCAUAUUAUCAUAGUUAUCAAAUUUUUUGUUAAGACAACAUAAUUCAUUUAAAAUAGUUUGGAAACAUCCAAACAUGGCUUGUAUAUCUUUACCAUCUUCCAUAGUGAAGAGUUCAUACUUAUGUGAUAACAAGCUGAGCUUGUUGUGUUUUACCUGUGAUGAUCCUUCAUCCAUCAAAGCUAAUGUCUCCCACAUUUGGUUUGCACUUUUAUAGUUGUGGACCUUUGUAUAUUCUUCCUUAGAGAGGGUGCACAACAGAGUGUUUCGAGCUUUAGAGUUCAACAUAAAUCUUUGUCUUUGAGCAUCUAUCCAAGAGGUUCUGGAAACUUCAUUCAGCUGAUCGUCUAGUGGUACGUAGUUUCCAUGUUCUACGACGUCCCAGAGGUCUAUAUGAAUGGACUUGAAAUGAGCUAUCAUAUGUUCCUUCCAGUAGUCAUAUUUUAUGCCUUUGAAUAGUGGUAGCUUGUUUGUAGAGUAUCCUUCUUCCAUAUCUAUUUGACUGUAGGAUAUUUCAUCUGUAUUUGUAAGAAUACUCAACUUGAGAAACCAGGCUCUAAUGCAAACCAAAAUACAAUAAAUCACACUAAAAGGGAGGUUGAAUAAUGUGUUAUUCAAAAUAUAAAAUCUUUUUGAAAUGGAAGAUGUUUAUAAUAAACAAGUUUAUAAAACCCUCGUCUAGUGACUAAAAGUGGAUCGUCAUCCAAUGAUGCAUAAAACUUAUUUUUCAGUGAAAACCUUGUGUGCAAAGAUGUGUUAAUAAUACGCUUUAAAAAUAUUUUGACAAGCUAAAGGAGAGUAGUAGAAACACUUAUUUUUAUACUGGUUCACUCAACUUAAGUUACGUCCAAUUCUCCUUUACUAACAAGUAAAGGAUUCUACUAAUCAAAUUUGAUUACAACAAGUAUUCUUUCAAGCCACUUCUAGCUUACAAGUAUUCUCAAGCCACUACUGACACAACCCUUAGAUUCCCCUUGAAUUUAGGAAUACUCAAGUAUUGUUUUGUUACUAAUCCACUCCUGACUUUCACAUACAAAAGUUUGAUACAGAAUCAAAGAUUCUUUACAACACUCAGUGAGUAAAUUUACAAUGAAGUUCUAAUGUCUCACAAGUACUUUGUAUAUAAAAAAGGAUGGAUUUUCUUAAGCUUAGUGUAUAUAUUAACAAAUGCUUUUCUUUUCUCUUGCUUCUUGUGUCAUGACUCUUGUUUUUCUGUUCGUGUUCAUUGUUGUUCUUCAAUCCUUAGUGUCAUAUUUAAAGGAAGAGAUGGACUUGUAAUGUGGAGAAUAUCUUUGGGAUUGAAUAAUAUGACUAUUAUGCAACUUGAUCUGGUAACUUGGAACAAAUAGAUAUUGCGUGUUUCUGUCUGAUAGGAUAAGAACCUUCCAUAUUUAUCAUUCAUAACUCAAUGACCGUUAGACUCAUAAAAGGAUAUAUAAGAUUGAUUCGUAGAUUUAUUCCUUUUAAAUAGAAUCAUAUAAACUAUCAUAAUUUGAUAAUUCAAAUAAAAUUCAUAUUUCAAUAAAUGUUUGUAUGGACUGACUGAGUACUUCCUGCUUCUGGUAGAUGAGAUAUCAACUUAUGGAUAAGUCUCACUUGGUGUUGCUUUCAGUCAUCAUACAUGCUACAGAGUAGUUAACACAUUUUAUAUCUUGAUUUUCAUCAAAACCUUAAGAGUGUGUUUGGAUGAGAAAACUUUAAAUUCUGAGAAAUUUUAAAUUCUAAGAAUUUCAAAUACUUCAAUUAAAAUUCUUUUAUUUUCAAAAUUUUAUGUUUGGAUAAAAAAAUUAAAAUUGUGAGGGUGAAAGAAAAUGAAUGCAAAAAGAAGAGAAGAGAUGGUUGGUGUACUUCCAAAAAGAAGAAUAUUGAUGCGGCAUGGGAAGUCACAGGGGAAUCGGGACACAGCAGCGUACAUCAUCACAUCCGACCACAAGAUUCAGUCAACGACACAAGGUAUGGCCUAGGCUCUCUACGCCGACGAGCAGCUGCGCUGCGUGAUGGGUAGCGACGACUGCUCCCCUAACUGGUAGGUGCAGUUCUAUGUGUCCCCUUACGCCCACAUCCGAUCAAUGCUCCAUGAGCUCAGGUGGUGUUUCUUGAAGAAAAGGAUCAUCGACGUGAGGGAAGAGCCGUAAGUUCGAGAACGAGAUUUCGGAAACUUUAAGGUGGAAAUGAGGAUGAAGGUUAUAAAGGAAAUACACGAACAUUUUGGAAGAUUCUUCUCUCAAGAGAAUUUCAAUUUCUCAUCGUUUAGAAGGAAAUUAAAAUUUCACAUUUUUAGUUGUUUAAAAUUAUGUUUUAAAAUUCCAAAAAUUUAAAUUCUUCACAAAAAAACAUCCAAAUAAUGAAUUUUAGAUUACAAAGAUUUAAAUUAUCUGAUAAAUUAUUUUCCUCAGUUAAAAUUUCCUAUCCAAACGCACUCUAAAAGAUAUCUAGGUCGUUUAGUGAUGGAUCCAUUGUCUAACAAUGUCUAUUUAUGUAAUUUUACAUUUUUCCGUUACUUAAAAGAUAAUUUUACCAAACACUUGUGAUUCAAUAAAAUAACUUUUUAACUUCAUGUUAGUCUUUAACUAUGAGCUAAUUUUUCAGCUUUUAGUUAAAUUUUCAACAAACUUUAUGAAAAAUAGUCUAAAUAAUUAUUAUAAACUUUAACUUUCUCUACUAUCACCUAUCUAUUCUACUUUUUUCUAUAUAUUUUUUUACUUUUUAUUAUACUACUAUGACUUAUUUAUUACAGGUUUACUUUUUUUUCUUCUUCUUACAUACAGACCAAAACAAGGUAUAUGUCUAACUCUCUUCUCUUCACGUACAUCCCAGAUUAGGGUAUAUGAUUAACGUACAGAACUCUUUAUUUAUAGUACCUUAUAAUGCAAUUUUCUUUUAAGAAAAAUUAAAGAGCGUGAGGUUGUGGGGAUUCCAAUUUCCAAUCUCCUCCACAAGGAAUUUUUUUACAAAGGCAAUGUAUAAUAAAAGAGAAAACGCGUAACAAAUUAUCCAUUUCUAAGAAAAAUCUAAAACUUCACUAACUUGUACAUUUCCCAGCGUACUCACGGGUGAGCUUACACAGGCUGACAUGCACACAGAACCACAUGAAAUAGACAAAAAAAACAGAGAAAAUAAUUAAAUAAAUGCCAUGGCAAUAUUGCAUGACUUUGUAUACAAGGCAUGUCAGAAAAUUAUCCAGUCUGAACAAGUAAACCAACAUUGUCCCUCUUAGUACAAUUAUGUUGUCCUUGGCCUUUGGUAUACAGCAACAACUUGAUGAAAGAGAAACGAAAGAGAAUUCCUUCACUACAUCGAUCUUCUCAACUUGUUUUUAUUCAUGCAUGAGUUAUGCAAUUCCUGCGAACAUUAGGCAAAAGAAACUGCUGUUAGAGAAUACUAUUAUUUCAUACAUAACACAUAGAUUUUAAUCUUUCAAGGAAAAUUAAGAAAAAAGAAUAAAACCCUAAUUUUCUUGCCCCCAAGAAAAGAAGCAUAUUUUCAAAGAAGAAUCCAGUUCUAACUAAAUAAAUAUCAUAUAAAAACACAAAAAAUCGUUAAAUGUUUCUUUAAGCAACGUUCAAAAUCUGGAGCUGGCAUGGUGUUUAUAUACUGACACACUUAGAAAAUGUUGAUCAUAGUCGUAGUACUUUUAUUUUCUUGAAAGCAUAUGACUUUAUUUAUUGAAAAUAUUUUCUUUCUAAUACAUACGCCCCCAAUAUAGGGUGGUUAAUUUGUUUUCAAAGUCCAUUUUCUAACAAUAUUUUUCAAAAGUCCUACUAUUCCCCCUUAUUUACGAUAUUUUAUUUUCUUGAAGGUAAGGGUAAGCAAAAGUAAGUUGAAGGUUCAUUUUAUAUAUAUAAGUAUACUUUGAACAAGGAAGAAAAAAUGGAACAUGAUGAAUAAUGACAUGACGAAAAAAACAAGACAUAUAUAAAGUUGAUGUGAAAAUUUAGUUAAUAAAAAAAAGAAAAAAAAAAAGAAAGGGAGGGUUGAAAAACACAACCUUGGUCCUUGGGGACCUUAGUGAUUAAAUAUAUAUUAACUAACUAUCUGCACACUUGAAUCCAUCAGGUGGGGUCUUGCCACAGUCAAUGAGAAGCUGAAGAGCAAUAGGGAUGAUGAUGUUGAUGUUGAGAAUCUUAGCCCUAAUGGUUGUGCAGAGACACACUGCAGCAUCCAAGUCCACAAGCCCUGCAAGCACUGGACAACAUGUCUGCUUGGCACUGCUGCCUAUGCCAAUGUGUAUGAGGCCACCGAGCACAUCCACACAUGCCCCCAGUUUUAGGCUGUCAAUGGGGCAUGUUGGUUGUGCUGGUGGUGGAUAUGGCACCACUGGUGGUGGUGGUGGUGGUGGACAUGGUGUUUCACUUGGAGGGUUUGGUGGAGUCACAAUGGGUGGUAAUGGUGGCACAGGGACUACAGGUGGAUACACAAUAGGUGGUGUCACAAUUGGUGGUGUUGGUACUACAGGUGGAUAAACAAUGGGUGGUUUUGGCACAUAAGGUGGUGUAACUGGCACAACUGGUGGUUUUGGGAUAUAUGGUGGUCUAACUGGGACAACAGGUGGUUUUGGGACAUAAGGAGGGUUCACAAUUGGUGGUUUUGGAACAUAUGGUGGUGUAACUGGCACAACUGGUGGUUUUGGGACAUAGGGAGGGUUCACAACUGGUGGCUUCGGGACAUAGGGUGGUUUAACAACUGGUGGUUUUGGGACAUAAGGUGGAUGUGGAUGCAGUGGAGGCUUAGGGUGAGGUUUUGGGACAUGGGGUGGAUGUGGAUGAACUGGUGGUUUAGGGUAGUGAGGAGGUUUUGGGACAUAGGGUGGGUGUACAUGGGGUGGUUUUGGAGAUGACUUGGGUGGUGGACAUGGUUUUGGUUGUUUGUGAACUGGUGGUUUCACAAUGGGAGGCUUUUUUGGAGGAGGCUUGGGAGAUGGGUAAGGGCAAUAGGGACAAGCAAGAACAUUGAGCAAAGUGCUCAAGUUCAAGAGAAGGACCAAGAGGACAUUGGCUAGGGCAAUCUUUCCCAUGGGUAGGUAG